CGUUAAGUUGCAGGGUAUAGACCCGAAACCCGGUGAUCUAGCCAUGGGCAGGUUGAAGGUUGGGUAACACUAACUGGAGGACCGAACCGACUAAUGUUGAAAAAUUAGCGGAUGACCUGUGGCUGGGGGUGAAAGGCCAAUCAAACCGGGAGAUAGCUGGUUCUCCCCGAAAGCUAUUUAGGUAGCGCCUCGUGAAUUCAUCUCCGGGGGUAGAGCACUGUUUCGGCUAGGGGGCCAUCCCGGCUUACCAACCCGAUGCAAACUGCGAAUACCGGAGAAUGUUAUCACGGGAGACACACGGCGGGUGCUAACGUCCGUCGUGAAGAGGGAAACAACCCAGACCGCCAGCUAAGGUCCCAAAGUCAUGGUUAAGUGGGAAACGAUGUGGGAAGGCCCAGACAGCCAGGAUGUUGGCUUAGAAGCAGCCAUCAUUUAAAGAAAGCGUAAUAGCUCACUGGUCGAGUCGGCCUGCGCGGAAGAUGUAACGGGGCUAAACCAUGCACCGAAGCUGCGGCAGCGACGCUUAUGCGUUGUUGGGUAGGGGAGCGUUCUGUAAGCCUGUGAAGGUGUGUCGUGAGGCAUGCUGGAGGUAUCAGAAGUGCGAAUGCUGACAUAAGUAACGAUAAAGCGGGUGAAAAGCCCGCUCGCCGGAAGACCAAGGGUUCCUGUCCAACGUUAAUCGGGGCAGGGUGAGUCGACCCCUAAGGCGAGGCCGAAAGGCGUAGUCGAUGGGAAACGGGUUAAUAUUCCCGUACUUGGUGUUACUGCGAAGGGGGGACGGAGAAGGCUAUGUUGGCCGGGCGACGGUUGUCCCGGUUUAAGCGUGUAGGUGUGUGUUCCAGGUAAAUCCGGUUCACUUUAACACUGAGGCGUGACGACGAGGCACUACGGUGCUGAAG
rnacentral:rRNA from 1 species